rnacentral:rRNA from 1 species
UGGGGAAUAUUGGACAAUGGGCGAAAGCCUGAUCCAGCCAUGCCGCGUGUGUGAAGAAGGUCUUCGGAUUGUAAAGCACUUUAAGUUGGGAGGAAGGGCAUUAACCUAAUACGUUAGUGUUUUGACGUUACCGACAGAAUAAGCACCGGCUAACUCUGUGCCAGCAGCCGCGGUAAUACAGAGGGUGCAAGCGUUAAUCGGAAUUACUGGGCGUAAAGCGCGCGUAGGUGGUCUGUUAAGUUGGAUGUGAAAGCCCCGGGCUCAACCUGGGAACUGCAUCCAAAACUGGCAAGCUAGAGUACGGUAGAGGGUGGUGGAAUUUCCUGUGUAGCGGUGAAAUGCGUAGAUAUAGGAAGGAACACCAGUGGCGAAGGCGACCACCUGGACUGAUACUGACACUGAGGUGCGAAAGCGUGGGGAGCAAACA